ACACACUAACCGGCACUAGAUCCAUGCUCAUCUGGAAGUACGUUAGCGCUGGGGAGCGGAGUCUCGCUGUCACUGCCUGUUUUGCGAGACGCGUCUGGGACUUCACACCUUUUUAAUCAGGUUCCGCUGGGUUUGACACGGGCCUGGGAUCAGCUGUUUAUCGCUGUGUAGUAAAGGCCCGAACCAGAUGGGUUUCAUCUGUUCCUCUUCAGGUAGAUAACAGAUACCUUCGCCUUCAAUUUUCAGCCCCGUGCCCCUCGGCUGACGGCUGUACAGCUGCUCCCCCCCGAGCCCCCGAAUCUCUUCCCCUCAUCUGGAUAAAAAAAACGCCCUUGAAAGCCGCAAGGGGCAGAAAGCGGAUCCGUAGCCUCAGUCACGAUCGCUCGGCUCGGAUCUCAGGCUGCAUCGUUUCGCCCUGAUUGUCCUGCUCAGAGCAAACAGCGGAGGGUGCUGCCCAUCAGUCACUGUGGCGGCGGCGCUGCCCACUCGGUGCCAGCGACGGGCGACGGAUGGCAACGGAGGGGCUUAAUGAGGGAGAGAGAAGGUGGAGGUGGAGAGGACUUUUAGAGGGUUGUGCAGCAGUUUUAGCCUUUGUCAGUUUCUCCCUUGUUCCCUGUUUCAAUCUGCCUGGUGGUGAUUUAGGUUGGAAGGUCAGCCUCGUGUAAGGACACGGUCUCUUGUUCUGUGAGCGGGUUUUAAACCACCUUUGUGUCAUGUUUAACUCGGUAUUGAUCCCUCAGUUUUGUAAACUGAGGUUUUAUUUGUCUGAGGACGGGUCUCUUCAGAACUAUGUGGAACAUUCAGGGGAAAGAAACCACUGAACAUUUCCACUCCUCCUAGAAUUAAAGCUCUGCAGUCGAUGCCUUUGAUGCAUUUUAACCCUUUGACCGGGAUUGUAACCACACAGUUGAGCUUUUUUGUAGUAGUAGUACAAUAAAAUGCUUAUUUGUACCCAUUUUCUAA